rnacentral:ncRNA from 1 species
GUAAACAGGGGAGGAAGCGGUGUAGCAAACCUUUUGAGCCUACGAACAGAAACUUGAUAUUAAGGCUAAAUGGUGGAUAAGGUUGCAAGACAAACCAAAGUCCAAAAGGUAAACGUAAAACCAAAGCAGUAAAUCAAGAGGUUGUGGAGAGAAAGAUUA